CUACAAGCUGCUGGCCAUUUAUGGACUAAAACUUUUAUAUUGUAAAUAUUUAUCUUUUUUAUUUCUUUCCUUGUUUACAAGAAAAUAGAUGACUCGAGUGUUACAAACAAUAGUUUUUAAGGAAUAAUGUGAAAUAAUUUUUAUAGGAUAAAAAACUUAAAAACAUUACCAGGCACUAACUUAGAUGAUCCUGGAGCAAAGGCUGUAAUUUGACCUGAGCCCAAAUUGGUCUCUAGUUUAAAUACCCUAUUGUCUUGAACCAAUAAGUUAAGAGGACUAACCUUUCUGGACGACAUUGCCAUCGACAUCACUGCAGAUGAGAGAUAUAGAGAGACCAGAGUUGUGUACCCUGGAGGCUAUUACCAUACUGCCGUGAUAACUAAGUUACCGGUAUUCAAAGUUCAAAUCGGUACUUUGAGCUGUAGCCUACCAGUAGAAUGGGGGCGUUGUAAUUAAUAUCCUCCCAACAUUGGAGGAUACAGGGGAGAGUUGCCAGAGGAAGAGGAGAUGGAGGAUGGGGCAAAGUAAAGACGAAGAUUGAAGAGAACUAA